GACGAACGCUGGCGGCGUGCCUAAUACAUGCAAGUAGAACGCUGAAGAGAGGAGCUUACUCUUCUUGGAUGAGUUGCGAACGGGUGAGUAACGCGUAGGUAACCUGCCUUGUAGCGGGGGAUAACUAUUGGAAACGACAGCUAAUACCGCAUAACAAUGGAUGACACAUGUCAUUUAUUUGAAAGGGGCAAUUGCUCCACUACAAGAUGGACCUGCGUUGUAUUAGCUAGUAGGUGAGGUAAUGGCUCACCUAGGCGACGAUACAUAGCCGACCUGAGAGGGUGAUCGGCCACACUGGGACUGAGACACGGCCCAGACUCCUACGGGAGGCAGCAGUAGGGAAUCUUCGGCAAUGGGGGCAACCCUGACCGAGCAACGCCGCGUGAGUGAAGAAGGUUUUCGGAUCGUAAAGCUCUGUUGUAAGUCAAGAACGGGUGUGAGAGUGGAAAGUUCACACUGUGACGGUAGCUGACCAGAAAGGGACGGCUAACUACGUG
rnacentral:rRNA from 1 species